rnacentral:rRNA from 1 species
AGCGAACGUUAGCGGCGCGCCUAACACAUGCAAGUCGCACGAGAAAGGGAGCAAUCCCCGGUACAGUGGCGCACGGGUGAGUAACACGUAGAUGACCUUCCCUGGAGUGGUGGAUAACCGUGCCGAAAGGCGGGCUAAUACAGCAUGGGACCACAUGGUUUUGACCGAGUGGUGAAAGCGGGCCUCUGUUCACAAGCUCGCGCUCUGGGAUGGGUCUGCGUCCCAUCAGCUAGUUGGUGAGGUAAUGGGCUCACCCAAGGCAUCGACGGGUAGCUGGUCUGAGAGGAUGACCAGCCACACUGGAACUGAGACACGGGUCCAGACUCCUACGGGAGGCAGCAGUGGGGAAUCUUGCGCAAUGGGCGAAAGCCUGACGCAGCGACGCCGCGUGGGUGAUGAAGGCCUCGG